UCCGACAGUUCAAUAGUCCGACAGUUUAGUGGUAUUUCUACUUCAUAUGUAUGUGAGUCGGAAGUCAUGUAUACCGGAUUUGAGUACUGCGUAUAUAUGAUGAAAGUAUCAUGAACUGAUUUAAAAGUAACAAGAACCUACCUACCAACUAGAGGAAAAGCUGAACAUGACUUCCUGUCUCUUGUGUGUUUUUUUAGGCCUCCAUA
rnacentral:lncRNA from 1 species